AUACGGGCUGCGAGGUACUUUGGGCAACCUCCCAUCCGUGUCUAUUGUACCCUGUUGCUUCGGCGGGCCCGCCGCUUGUCGGCCGCCGGGGGGGCGCCUCUGCCCCCCGGGCCCGUGCCCGCCGGAGACCCCAACACGAACACUGUCUGAAAGCGUGCAGUCUGAGUUGAUUGAAUGCAAUCAGUUAAAACUUUCAACAAUGGAUCUCUUGGUUCCGGCAUCGAUGAAGAACGCAGCGAAAUGCGAUAACUAAUGUGAAUUGCAGAAUUCAGUGAAUCAUCGAGUCUUUGAACGCACAUUGCGCCCCCUGGUAUUCCGGGGGGCAUGCCUGUCCGAGCGUCAUUGCUGCCCUCAAGCCCGGCUUGUGUGUUGGGUCGCCGUCCCCCUCUCCGGGGGGACGGGCCCGAAAGGCAGCGGCGGCACCGCGUCCGAUCCUCGAGCGUAUGGGGCUUUGUCACAUGCUCUGUAGGAUUGGCCGGCGCCUGCCGACGUUUUCCAACCAUUCUUUCCAGGUUGACCUCGGAUCAGGUAGGGAUACCCGCUGAACUUAAGCAUAUCUA
rnacentral:rRNA from 1 species